CAGCUGGGGAUCAGAAGGCAGCAACUUCGAAGGAGAAGAAAGACAGAAAGAGUUGCUCUAUGUGAUACCACAAAGAAAAAAUAACAAGAAAAUGUUGCUUCAUGGACUUCAAAACCACGUGUUGCAGAUCAAGUGGUACAGUGAUAGAGAAGGAGACUACAGUAAAGGAAGAGGAGGGUUUCUUUCCAAACUAAAAAUGGCUUAAGAUAUGCCCCAGUAAGGUGCAACCAAUGUACACUAAAAGCUUCAUGUGACAGAUGGAUAGAUGAUGUUUGACAGCUGCAUGUUGGUACAUGAACUUUGAGUGUCAUGGUGGUGAUGAGCAGCUUUUGGAAGAACUGUGAUGGCAACAGAAGACAAGCUAUCUACCCACCUUCUACCAGCCUCCAGUCUCAGGAUGACCCGGGACAGAUACGUACCAAACAGAACGUUAGCAAAUAACUACAUGAGCAAAUAGAUAUUAAACCAAGCCCUAAGUGUCUGCUGUCUUAUUGCUUUGCAU